AUUGAACGCUGGCGGCAGGCUUAACACAUGCAAGUCGAGCGGAGAUGAGGUGCUUGCACCUUAUCUUAGCGGCGGAGGGGUGAGUAAUGCUUAGGAAUCUGCCUAUUAGUGGGGGACAACAUUCCGAAAGGGAUGCUAAUACCGCAUACGUCCUACGGGAGAAAGCAGGGGAUCUUCGGACCUUGCGCUAAUAGAUGAGCCUAAGUCGGAUUAGCUAGUUGGUGGGGUAAAGGCCUACCAAGGCGACGAUCUGUAGCGGGUCUGAGAGGAUGAUCCGCCACACUGGGACCGAGACACGGCCCAGACUCCUACGGGAGGCAGCAGUGGGGAAUAUUGGACAAUGGGGGGAACCCUGAUCCAGCCAUGCCGCGUGUGUGAAGAAGGCCUUAUGGUUGUAAAGCACUUUAAGCGAGGAGGAGGCUACUGAGACUAAUACUCUUGGAUAGUGGACGUUACUCGCAGAAUAAGCACCGGCUAACUCUGUGCCAGCCGCCGCCGUAAAAC
rnacentral:rRNA from 1 species